CAAGAAGACACGGGGUGCCCGGGCAAGUUCUUAAAAACGCUGGAAACAAUGAUCAAUAUUGAAAGCGGACGGCCGGGCUGAGAUUACACUCGUCGAACCUGAUUUAGUCAAUACUAACGAAGGGAAUGUCGUUCCAUGCCACG
rnacentral:ncRNA from 1 species